UACAGAGGGGGCAAGCGUUGUUCGGAAUUACUGGGCGUAAAGGGCGCGUAGGCGGCCGCCUAAGUCAGACGUGAAAUCCCUCGGCUCAACCGGGGAACUGCGUCCGAUACUGGCGGGCUCGAAUCCGGGAGAGGGAUGUGGAAUUCCAGGUGUAGCGGUGAAAUGCGUAGAUAUCUGGAGGAACACCGGUGGCGAAGGCGACAUCCUGGACCGGUAUUGACGCUGAGGCGCGAAAGCCAGGGGAGCAAACGGG
rnacentral:rRNA from 1 species